rnacentral:rRNA from 1 species
GCCUAAUACAUGCAAGUCGAACGGUCUUUCUAUGGAAGCUUGCUUCCACUGAGAAGAUAGUGGCGAACGGGUGAGUAACACGUGGGUAACCUGCCCAUAAGAGGGGGGAUAACAUCCGGAAACGGGUGCUAAUACCGCAUAGUUUUCUUGAUCGCAUGAUUGAGAAAGGAAAGACGGCCUUUGUGCUGUCGCUUAUGGAUGGACCCGCGGCGUAUUAGUUAGUUGGUGAGGUAACGGCUCACCAAGACGAUGAUACGUAGCCGACCUGAGAGGGUGAUCGGCCACAUUGGGACUGAGACACGGCCCAAACUCCUACGGGAGGCAGCAGUAGGGAAUCUUCCGCAAUGGACGAAAGUCUGACGGAGCAACGCCGCGUGAGUGAAAGAAGGUUUUCGGAUCGUAAAACUCUGUUGUCAGAGAAGAACAAGUUGGAGAGUAACUGCUCCAGCCUUGACGGUAUCUGACCAGAAAGCCACGGCUAACUACGUGCCAGCCGCCGC